ACCCGCUGAACUUAAGCAUAUCAAUAAGCGGAGGAAAAGAAACCAACAGGGAUUACCUCAGUAACGGCGAGUGAAGCGGUAACAGCUCAAAUUUGAAAUCUGGCUCUUUCAGGGUCCGAGUUGUAAUUUGUAGAAGAUGCUUCGGGUGUGGUCCCGGUCUAAGUUCCUUGGAACAGGACGUCACAGAGGGUGAGAAUCCCGUAUGUGACUGGGUACCUAUGCUCAUGUGAAGCUCUUUCGACGAGUCGAGUUGUUUGGGAAUGCAGCUCAAAAUGGGUGGUAAAUUUCAUCUAAAGCUAAAUAUUGGCCAGAGACCGAUAGCGCACAAGUAGAGUGAUCGAAAGAUGAAAAGCACUUUGGAAAGAGAGUUAAACAGUACGUGAAAUUGUUGAAAGGGAAGCGCUUGCAACCAGACUUGCACGUUGUUGAUCAUCCGAGAUUUUUCCCGGUGCACUCGAUUUCGUUCAGGCCAGCAUCGGUUUCAGUGGUUGGAUAAAGGCCUUGGGAAUGUAGCUUCUUUCGGGGAGUGUUAUAGCCCUCGGUGCAAUGCAGCCUACCGGGACCGAGGACCGCGCUUCGGCUAGGAUGCUGGCGUAAUGGUUGUAAGCGACCCGUCUUGAAACACGG
rnacentral:rRNA from 1 species